GCAGCCCGGCGCGCCGCUGUGGAGGUUCCUUUCUCCCCGGGAGCGGCGCUGCGCACGCCCCGCCCGCCGCCGUCCCCUAGGCUGGCGCCGCCCGCGCCGCUGGCCCUCCGGCCGGCAGCCCUCACUUCCUUAGCGACCCUUCUUGGAGCUCCGAGCCGCCGUGCGGUCUUGCCCCCGACCUUGUGUGUACCCGGCUGGCAUCCUGAGAGGCGAGGAGCGGCGUCCUGGCGCCUUCGCCUUCGCCUCUGGGGCGCCGCAGCCCCCUCGGCCCCGCCACCUCCGAUCCGCGUGACACGGGUCCCCCCCAUACCUCUUGGGGGGGGGGGUGGAAGACAAAGGAAGGAGAUGGUUCCAGUGGGCGUCUUGCCUUCUACUCAUUUAACGCCCUGCAUUGCCUCGUCGUUCGAACACAUCGUGUACUCGGCCCUAUUGUAAAUAGUUUACUUACCCCCGCUUACCACCAGGAAAAUAAACAAGUUGUUUUCCCUACCCCAUAACAUUCCCCACUUCGUUUUCCAGCCACGAAUAAAAUGUAUUCCUGAGACAGCAACUUUGGGGAGUUCGUUGGCCUCACCCACCCAGGGGUGACAAAUGGUUACACAAUGACGAUAUUUCACUCAAAAGGGGUGUGUUAAUGUGCGUGGAUCACUUCAAGAAAGCAAACAUUUCACAGUUUCCUCGACUGGUGGACUUUUGGACUGUCCUUUCGGAUGGGUGUCGCUGAAUGGGGAGGGGGGUUGAGAAGUGGCGUCGGCACCAGGUGUCUCACGAUGAGGUUAGUUAGAGGUGGACGCAGGCGUCUUAAUCGGACACCAGGUACCAAAGAUUUCGUCCAAAACAGUGGGAGUUUUACCUGAAUAAAGAUCCCGGAACCAAGCCCAGAUAUUAAAAUGCUUUCCAGCUAAGAACCAGAAUUGCAGUGGAUGUGGCCCUGUCUGCACAUGAGCCCUGAAACCACUGCAGCCAACGCAUGACCAUGACAGGCAAUAGCUCCAGCAUGCUGAAGAUGGCAGAAUGAAAAGACGUUGAAACCUGAUAGAAAGGAACUUCCAGCGAGUCCUCUCUAACCCACUACUAAGAGUGCUUUCCAGACAAGAGUUGAUCGGUGUUAUUAGGGAAUGUGCGUGGAAGAAAGGUAAGUUUUUUCAGCCCCAAAUGUGUAUCAAGUGCCAAACUUGCCCUGGGGAGCUCACAGUCUCCCUGGUAAGACUACAAACUUGAACAAUUUUGAGUACACGACAGCAUAGGUUUUAAAAAGUCCUCGCCACAUGGGUUAGAAAACAGUCCCUGCAAUAGGAGGGGUGACGAGGGAGGCUUUCCUGAGGCUCAGUGACUAAGCCUUGAGUGAUGGUGAGAAGCUGGGCACUGAAGCAAGCAAGAGUAUUGUUUAGGUGAGACUGGUCUGACCAGUCGAAGGGGUGGGGGAAGAAAGCAGUAUAAAGGGGAAAUCGGGUCCCCCCACGUCAAUCAUGAACACUGGUGCAGGCCGAGGGCACCCGCAGCCUCACGUGCCACGGAAAUAGACAGUUGUACAGAUUUCCUCAGGAAAACAUUGAAAGCAAAAAUUGUGAUCACACCCAACCCUGCCCAAUCUCUCCCACGUCCUCAAAAGGAAGAGAGCAGUAAGUCAGAUCGUUUGUUUAUUCAUUCAUUCAACCAACAAUUCUCUCUCCUAAGAGGCCUUUGUUUCCAGCCUUUCCGGCAGCACCGAGUAUUCCACAGCGAAGGGGCCCCCUAGUUGCCUGGCUCAGCAAGACCACAUCAACACUGGAAGGGGAGGACCAGCAUUCCAACCGAGGCAGCGCCUAUGUAAAUACAAGGAGAGAGAGGCGAGGAGAGCUCUCCAAUUGGGGUGGGGUGGUGGGAUGACUGCAAUGUGUUUGCGAAGGGAAAGUGGGACUCCUACACUUCAUCGGAAGAGCGAAGCCCCCAACCAAGGACCCCUUUCAAGGAGUCUGGCUUAUUGGGCAGGACGUAGCUUUACCCUUAAUAGGGUUUUCCGUGUCCGUAUAGAAAGGAUCUCCCGAAAUGGAGCUGCCAACCGACCUAAUCAGGCUAGUUUUGAAGAGUGAAAGCAGGUCUAGGAGGAGAAGAAAGAACGAGAACAGAAACCUACCAUGGAGACAACGUUGCUGCGUUGGCCCAACUUUGCUAGAGAAAACCCCCCAUGUAAAUCACAAAAAUAACCGGCAGGAAAGGAUUGGGUGGGUGAGAUGUGUCCCCAAAAAGCCUCAAGGAGAAAGCAAAGCCUGCUGGAAACUCGGACAAAAGGGUAUUUGAAGGAGAAGGUUCCUGAAAGACAACCGCAUGUCUUGGGCACCAGUCCGGGCUGAAAGGGACAGACCGGGGGAAGCACGGGGGGCGUCUUUCCAAGGCUGACCAGGAGACAGCAGAGCGGGGUUGGCCCGGGAGGAGGGGGGCGCCAGCGGGCGGGGCUAGGCGGCCCGAGUCAGCCGCCGGGGACGG